rnacentral:rRNA from 1 species
GACGUAGGGCGCGAGCGUUGUCCGGAAUCAUUGGGCGUAAAGAGCGCGUAGGCGGUCCGGUAAGUCCGCUCUGAAAGCCCGGAGCUCAACUCCGGAACUGCCUUUAAGACUGCAUCGCUAGAAUUGUGGAGAGGUAAGUGGAAUUCCGAGUGUAGAGGUGAAAUUCGUAGAUAUUCGGAAGAACACCAGUGGCGAAGGCGGUUGCCUGGAGCUUUGCUGACGCUGAGGCGCGAAAGCGUGGGGAGCGAUCCGG